GGGAAUUCUCUGGGCUGUACUGGGCUUCCCUCCAUGCUGGGGGGCAAACAGGUGCUCAGACCUCAUAGAUGAGUCACUGAGGAAGGACUGUGGGGGUCCCCAGCUGAGAGAAGCCAGCUCUGCAGAACACUCGGUUUGGAUUGUGGUUUCCCUGGCACCUUCAGGGAGGGAUCUGGGCUGCGAUCUCCUGAGCUAUGUGGUGCUCCCUGGGACAGAUCUCAGCAGUGGGGUGGUUCCAAGGACAACGUUAUGGUUUUAGUCUACCACAGCUCUCCCGUUCGGCCCUGGGCAAGGUGGCCACCAGGCUCCCACAGGUACUUCCUGCUCAGAGCAGGAUGUGGAGUGAUACAUUCACCCUUCUUUGCAUUCCCUGUCUCCUGAAGGCCACAUUCAUCCACUUCCCCUUUUCUGGAGAGGAUGUCAGCUUAAGAGAAACUCCUGCAUGGAAGGGGAAGGUGACUCUAUAAGGGAGGAGAAGGAUCACGUGGUGCUAUUAAUGUCACUACACACUCACCAAAGGGAAAAAAGCGCUGGCAGUGACUGGAGACAUCCGGAUAUUAAUCGAGGAGCUGAAAUGAGUUCAUUUAACACACAGUAAAU
rnacentral:lncRNA from 1 species